UACAUUUAAUAUAAACAUUUAUUAACUAAGUGAUGAUAAGAGAGUAAAUAGACAGGUGCAUACAGUAAAUCCUCUUUUGCAACCCAAAACUCAUUGUUGAAUAUGAGAUUUUUGGUACAUGUAAGAAGGAAUAUG